rnacentral:lncRNA from 1 species
AUGCUUUCUUUUUUAUAGAACGGUACUAGCUAAUGAUGCUGUGCUGCUGUUAGAAUUUGCUUCAUGAAUUCUUACCACAUGUUCAGGUGGUGACAGAAGCCCCAAACGCCAACUACUUUGAUCCGAUGUACGUGAUUCCUGUGUACUGGAGCGCUUGGAGCGACCUCUUCAAGGCUCUCUUCUUGGGUGCAACACAAGGCCGGGACUUCAAGGAAAGCUUUACCUCGAUCAUUUACAGGCUAUUUGGGCUCAUCAUUCCUGGAGUCGCGUUCCACAGCCCAAGAGACUACGUCAAUGGCGGAAGAUUGGCUAAGAUUGCAGACAAGAUUAUGGUCUAAAAAGAAGGAUGAUUUAGAUGCUAUGGUGUGCCGAAGGAAAAUAAGUGUCUGGGUUUAGUGGAUUGUGUUGGAGAAGCCGUUGUUGUCACAUGGUUUGUGUUUGUUUUCCGCUCCUCCUUAUAAUAAAUAAGCAAGUUUUACAAUAAAUGGGCCUGGUCUAUAAUUUGAUAUAAAAUGUGUAGUUUCAGAAUAUGAUAUCGAUCCUGAACUAGUUGAUUUACUAACGAUGUAUGGCCCACAGUUGCUUUUUGCUGAUAUCACCAAUGCAUAAGCCAACAUGGGCCUCGAUUCAUGGUGUUCUUUGCUUGAAGCUUAUGCUUGAUGCUUAUCACUCUUACUCUGGUCAUAAUGUUAAUGCUGCAAAAUUUCACAUCAAUUUCAGUCCCUCUGCUCCCAGAAGAACUAGGAAGUUAAUCAUUAGCCUUUUUAAUAUACCGGUCAAAUGAGGUGUCUGGAAAUCCUUGGGAGUCCUGCUGAUAGGUACGGACCUUACUGCAUCUAACAGAGCUCCUUUUUCAAAUAUUAUUUUUAUUAUUUAUUUUCAAAAAUAUUUCUAUCGCUAACUUAUUUUUCAUUUUACCUUGGGGAUCAUGCCACGCGUGCAAUCAUGGGUUCAACAUAAGAUUUUAACACCGUCUCAACUGAAAUCAUAGGUUAAAUCUAUCAUGAUUUUGAAUUUAGCUGACCAAAAUCAUGGGUUCACAUUUUUGCUGGAUAAUGUGCCAAUCUGAAAUCGUGAAUUCAACUCAUGAUUUUAGUAAAAUCAUAGAUUAAACUUGUGAUUUCACUUGAAAAUCAUGGACUCAGCCCGCAUUUUCAUUGAAAUUAACCUACGAUUUCAAUGUUUUUAAGAUCCAAUCUAGCCCACUGUGCUCUCCAUCUACCCGGAAAAUCUCUUUCCUUGUUGAUAACCUAGAUUUUUCACAGUUUUUGAGAAAAGUAAAUCUCAUACAAUUGAAAGAAAAUAGAUAAUUUUGAACAGACCAGAUCAGAAGUCAUAUGGAAACUUUGUAAUAUUGGAAGCCUGGAUCCACAAAAGGUAUCUUGAUUAAAAAAUGGCACCUGCAGUGCCUGCCACUGUUUGCUUAAAAAACAAUAUUUUCUACAGAGUUGGAGAUAGAGAGAGAGAGAGAGGAAGAGAACGAGCAUCGUAGUAAUAUCAGAUGACUAAUUUUUUUAUUUUAAUAUUGCAGAUGCACUUUGUGGGCUUCUUUGAUUGCUGGAACAAUAAGUAUUCUAAUCAAACUGGCUCCAGAAAAAUCAUGAUGUUACUUUGCUGACGAGAGUUAACAAUUUAAACCAAUCAGUGAGAGUAAUGAGAGCCUAUAUUUUCGUGUCUGUAGUUUAUAACGUACACCACCAAGUUUCUUAAGAAAGAAUUUAGCCAUAGAACCAACCAAAGAGUAUUGGAAUCUCAGAGUUCCUCGAGAAGAAUGCGACGCAAGCUUACAUAUUCUGCAAUUAGGCAGAGGAUGCUGAUCUGAUUGCUUUGGCCUACCGCGGCACCAAACCUUUCAAUGCCCGAGACUGGUCGACUGAUGUCGAUCUUUCCUGGCUCUUCACAGGCAAAAUGGGGAACGUCCACCUGGGAUUCCUCAAGCACUUGGUCUCCAAGAUGAGAAGAACUUCUUUGAAGGGUUCCCUAAGGACUACUAUGGCACUCCCGACAAUCCUGUGGCAUAUUAUGUCUUAAGAGGACAACUCAGGUCUCUAAUCCAACAACACAAGAAUGCAAAGAUUGUUGUGACUGGACACAGCUUGGGUGGUGCACUCGCAGCCAUCUUCCCUGCUUUGCUUUCCUUCCAUGAUGAGCAUGAUAUUUUGAGUUCCAUGUAUGGUGCCUUGACUUAUGGGCAACCAAGAGUUGGAGAUGCCAUCUUUGGGACUUAUAUCGAAACCAUUGUGAGAUUGAAGCAUUACAGAAUGGUGUCUAGGUAUGAUAUUGUCCCUCGAAUCCCAUUCGAUAUGCCUCCGGUCGCUCUGUUCAGGCAUUUUGGUACUUGUAUCUACUACAAUGGCUGGCGUAAUGGACAGGUAUGGUAUCUUUUUUAUAGAACGGUACUAGCUAAUGAUGCUGUGCUGCUGUUAGAAUUUGUUUCAUGAAUUCUUAUCACAUGUUCAGGUGGUGACAGAAGCCCCAAACGCCAACUACUUUGAUCCGAAGUACGUGAUUCCCAUGUACUAGAGUGCUUGGAGCGACCUCUUCAAGGCUCUCUUCUUAAGUGCAACACAAGGCCGGGACUUCAAGGAAAGCUUUAUCUCCAUCCUUUACAGGCUUUCUGGGCUCGUC